rnacentral:lncRNA from 1 species
GGUGAUGCGUUACUCCUUGAGCACAAGGUCCGAAACAAAUUUUCUUAAAAGCUGUGAUAUAGUAUGUUGAAUUUCACAUCCAAUAGUUAAAAAAAAAUCAGACCUUGUAUUAAAAAUAAAUGGUUCAUAGUAUACACUCGCAUAAAAAAAUUACUGGGCCAAUCUGUACAAGCUUCAUGGGGGGAGGGGGGGUUUAUCCCUUUGGCCGUUUCGUUCGUUUAUUUUUCUUCUUUAACAAACAGGUCAGAUUAAAACAUGAUUGAAAAAAAAAAUGAAAUACUCAAACAUGUCCAACUAAAGAGCGUGGCCAGAAGCUAUUGUUCUCAUUCUACAAUACAACUUCCCCCACAUUUCAAGCAAGGAACGAAUGAGAAGUAACAAGAACCCAAUGAAAGAAAAGGGUUAAAAAAAAAAUUCAAGAUCGAAUAUCAAAAUUACAGCAGCAUUCCAGAGAAACUAUCCUGAAGCACGAACCACUGAGCCUCUUUCAAUCUGUUCNNN